AACGCACGAGACCUGCGGACCUGCGGAAGGAUCAUUACAAGUGACCCCGGUCUAACCACCGGGAUGUUCAUAACCCUUUGUUGUCCGACUCUGUUGCCUCCGGGGCGACCCUGCCUUCGGGCGGGGGCUCCGGGUGGACACUUCAAACUCUUGCGUAACUUUGCAGUCUGAGUAAAUUUAAUUAAUAAAUUAAAACUUUCAACAAUGGAUCUCU
rnacentral:misc_RNA from 1 species